rnacentral:rRNA from 1 species
GCUUAACCGGAGAAGUGCAUCGGAAACUGGAUAACUUGAGUGCAGAAGAGGGUAGUGGAACUCCAUGUGUAGCGGUGGAAUGCGUAGAUAUAUGGAAGAACACCAGUGGCGAAGGCGGCUACCUGGUCUGCAACUGACGCUGAGACUCGAAAGCAUGGGUAGCGAACAGGAUUAGAUACCCUGGUAGUCCAUGCCGUAAACGAUGAGUGCUAGGUGUUGGAGGGUUUCCGCCCUUCAGUGCCGGAGCUAACGCAUUAAGCACUCCGCCUGGGGAGUACGACCGCAAGGUUGAAACUCAAAGGAAUUGACGGGGGCCCGCACAAGCGGUGGAGCAUGUGGUUUAAUUCGAAGCUACGCGAAGAACCUUACCAGGUCUUGACAUCUUGCGUCAACCCUAGAGAUAGGGCGUUUCCUUCGGGAAUGCAAUGACAGGUGGUGCAUGGUCGUCGUCAGCUCGUGUCGUGAGAUGUUGGGUUAAGUCCCGCAACGAGCGCAACCCUUGUUACUAGUUGCCAGCAUUAAGUUGGGCACUCUAGUGAGACUGCCGGUGACAAACCGGAGGAAGGUGGGGACGACGUCAGAUCAUCAUGCCCCUUAUGACCUGGGCUACACACGUGCUACAAUGGACGGUACAACG